UCUUCUCUCCGUCUCACUUUCACCCAUCCUCGCCCUCUUGCUCUCUAACAAUUACUCCAAAAAGAUUCAAGCCAAAGGAAACUCACCUUCGGUGGCGGCGACGGUGAUGAUGGAGCCUAAGCUUCACUAUUUCGCCUCUCUCUUCCAGGGUUUCAGAUUGAUGCUCAAAGGUUCCAAAGGAGAAAGUUUUCAGAAGCACUUUUGUCCGCUCAGAAACGAGUUAUCCUGUUUGAUGCUAUUUUCCGGAAAGUGAAUUCGGAGCAUUGGCUUAAUUUUGCC